UACGUAGGUGGCAAGCGUUGUCCGGAUUUAUUGGGUUUAAAGGGUGCGUAGGCGGUUCUGUAAGUCAGUGGUGAAAUACUCCAGCUUAACUGGAGGGGUGCCAGUGAUACUGCAGAACUUGAGUACAGAUGAGGUAGGCGGAAUUGACGGUGUAGCGGUGAAAUGCAUAGAUAUCGUCAAGAACACCUAUAGCGAAGGCAGCUUACUGGGCUGUAACUGACGCUGAGGCACGAAAGUGUGGGGAUCAAACAGG
rnacentral:rRNA from 1 species